rnacentral:lncRNA from 1 species
AACUGCACAUCAUAAUAAAAAGCCUAUUACUAUUGCAAAUAAUGACAACUUACCUGAUAAUCCAUUUAGGAAAAAAAAAAAAAAAAAAGAAAUUCCUCCUAUUAUAUAAUGCAGAAUUUUACAUCUACAAUGUUCCCUGGAGUAUUUGAAUAUUUGGUAGCCACGAAAUACUACAAAUGAUCUUUACUCUAAAAGAGAGAGAAUGGAAAGAUAAGAAGUGAAAUGUGAACUUGACUAUCCUCAAUCGUCAUAAUCUUUUGUUUGCUUCAGCAUAACAUUGACUUCACUUAACAAAUAUAGGUUCCACGAUUGCUCUUAAAAAAUGUGUCACCAAAUGAUGGUUUGAAUUGGCCUCUCUCUCUAACUCUCGUAAUAACAGAUAUUGUGUACAAGUCAAAUUUGUUGUAAACAACACGUCAUCAAAUGAUGUGGAUUGGAGCUGGCAACGAAAUAUAUGCAAAGCAGGCAUAUAGGUGGUCAGCCCACAAGCUUACAGCAACUAACCCAAUUAAUAACUUUCUUGACCUGGUAGAUGACUGAGCUAUUAGUCUCUAAUCAAAUCGAGUCUCGAAAUUGUAUUGGUAAUGGACGACCAGAUGAAAAUCUGUAAAAUAAUAACAUCAUCCCCAUCAAAGUCAGAAAUUUAAUGUUUAUAGAAAAAUUAAAUCUACCUGCACCAUAAGAAGAGUUUUGAAGAUAUUAAUAAAUUAAUGUUUUUCUCUCUUAACAUUUUUAACUUAAAUGAUUUCACAAAAGGAAGGACCUUCAAAAUUUAACAAGAUAUGAAGCUUGCUGCAAAAUAUUGAAUAUUUAUCGAACUAGUUCUUCGCAUGUGAGAUGCACGUAGUGCAUUGUAAUAGAGAAUUUCAUAGAUGAAAUUACCAAAUUCUUAUUGUAGUCUGCCAUUUUUGCUCAUGGUCUACAAGCACUCAACCCCCUCUUCCUCCACCCCUUUCCUCUAAAUACGUCUUGUGUACCAAUAGGCAAUAAUGAAAAACAAGGCAUACGUUUCCUCUCUUUUUUUGCCCCAAGUUAAUGGCAAAGAGAUGCUUGUUCCCUCACUGAAAGGAAGAACAAACACAUUAGCAACUUUAAAAAAUAAAAAUUAAAAAAGGAGUAUUAUUGAUAAUUACUUUCAAUUAAUUUCAGUAAAAUUCACCUGAAGCCAAAUUUUACACAAUAAUUCUUCAUGAAAUCUACCAAUCCAAUUAACUCACUUUCAAAUCGAACAUUUUACAAAACCUG